rnacentral:lncRNA from 1 species
AUACAACCAAAAGGGAAAACAAGUGGUUUUGGGUUCAGAGCCAAUGUUAAUAUUCUUUUCACUAUGUUUUAUUCUUUUCUCUUUCAAUUUCUCAGUUUUUCUUUGAUAUUCUUUUUUUUUCAAUUGAGUGCUCUUCCUUCGGUGAUUGCUUCUUUUGAACCAUCGACUAUAUUUCGUUUUCUCAAUUUUUUUAUGGUCGUUUUUCUUCUUUUUAUUUUUUAUUUUUUUCCGUACUGUAACACCCCAAAAUUUUCCCUCCUUAUUCACGCAUUCAUUUUUAGGUCAUUUAACAUUAGAUACAUUGCAUUUUAUCCUGUCAAUCGGGAUUAGCUCCAAGAAGCUUGAAC